rnacentral:misc_RNA from 1 species
CAGUCGAACAGUAAAAACCGAAUUACUAAACUCUUGAAAAUUAAAAACCAAACUGAUUUGAAAGAAGAACUGAGUGAAUCGAAUUGGUUCGGUCAUAAACCAUUGGUUUUUAAGAAAGCCUAAACUCAUAAUGUUUUCAACUCAAAUUCAACAAUCAUCCCAAUUCAUUCAUCAAACCAAAAAAUCUAUUGAAUCAUUAACAAACAAACAUCCAAAUACAUAAAUAGGUGUACAUUCAACACAAAAACAGAUCCAUGCAAGUAAAAUUCCAAGUUUGAAAUUGAAUCUUCAAUUGAAAUAAACAAUACCCAAAAGGAAGAAAUUGAAAUCAACAAUACCCAUUGCUUUAGUGUUCUGCAAAUUAAAAACAAAACCCCAAUUUUAGUGAGUUAGGUUGACGAUAGUUGCAGGAAGAAUUGAGGAAACAAUCUCAGUGAACGAAGACCAGCUGAGGAAGAAUCAAAGAAACAAUCUCAGUGGAUGACAACAAGGCAAGAUGGGAGGAACUUGUGACUGCCUUGCUGGGAAGAAGAUGAGCAACAGGCUGAGGAAGGGAGAUGAAGAGAGAUUUGUGAGGUGUGAGGAAGGAUAUGCAUGAGUGAGGGAGAUCUGUGGGUCUAUGAGCUUUGAAGUGUUGAGGAAAAAAGCAGAUAUUUUGUUGAGAAAUAGAGAGAAAACGGA